rnacentral:lncRNA from 1 species
UUGUACAUGGUUUGGAAGUUUAUGAAACCACCCUCAGACACUGAACUGAGCUGUUUCAGGCUCUAACUAAAUCUUGACAGCCUAUUUUGUGGGGUAAGAAAUGGUUUGAUAGCACUUGUGUGUGGUUUUAGUUUUUUUUUCCUUUACCCACUUGUGAGUCAAAGACUUAGACACACCUAGGUUUGUAGACAAGAUCCUCAUUGAUGAUCGUUGAAGCAC